CGCAGCUCCGCCCUCUUUUCGAGGCUGGCUGCGCGGGUGGGAGUCAUGGCGGUCUCGGCCCGGUCUGAAUGCGGCCAGCAAUCUCGGGCCUUUGGCGGCGGCUUUUCUUUGAUACCUGCAGAGACAGUGAGAAGCAGACCUGCAAGUUGAAGCUUAAAAGCAGUGAAUGAAGCCCUGAAAUUAAAGGUGCUGGCUGCAGACUUUGAGUGUAAGGAUCUCUGUGGUGAAAUUUUUAUAAACGGUACAGUCUCAGCCUGUUUCUGAGGCUGAAAAGGAUGCUCCAGAAGACACUAACUAGCAGCAGUGCCAUGGACCCCAGGCGGAAUUUUUCUCGUGUCUGCAGUGUAUGAGACAGAACUGAACAGCUUUACCUGAAGCAAGUGAAAUGACUCCUGUUUGUAAGCUUUGUUUCCAUCUUGCUGAAGAAGCUCCACAGGCCUGUGAUGGUUGUCUCCCAGUGAUGUCAGAUGGGAUCAGCACAAUCCCCCGUGCUAGUUGUUCAUGCUUAUAAAAUAAAACCCCCAAAGGAGAAUCAUUUAACAGUUUUUUGGACUUCAUCUUCAAAGGUAGACAAAGAGUUGAAGUGAUAGUUUUUCCCAGAAAAUCUUUGGCAGUUAGUGAAGAACAUUCAGAACACUACGGUUUAGGUUAUCUUGGUCUAACUCGUAGUGGUGGGAUAGCAAUGGUUGGAAAAGGAGAGUAAUUAACAUGGACUUGUUCUGUUGGGGGAGACUGAGGGGAAACAGGUGUUCAGCCUAGAAAAAUAUCUCAGUGGAUUUCCUAUGAAGUCAAUGUGUCAUGGCUUUAACUUUGAAACAAAAUUU